rnacentral:lncRNA from 1 species
UUAGUUCUAAUUCUCAAUCAAUAAUAAUUAUCUCAAUUUAUGCAAUUGCGACGAUCGAUAAUUCCACUAUUAUUUAUUAUUUUUUCCAAGAUAUAAUAAACCUAUGAUUACCACGAGAUGAUCCUAUUACUAGUCCAACUUCAUAUGACGACCAUGCAUUGACAUUUAGGAUUAUCACAUAAGAUCGCACACGCCACAAAUAUUAUUCCUAAUAUUCAUUGCCCGUAUGUCCUAAUAAUAGUGUUCUACCUAUCGCGAGUUUUCCAACACUAAGAAAAAGCAACAUAUUGUUCUAAUGGUGCAUACACAUUAAAACAAUCUAAUUAUGCAUAUUAAUGGAAUCACAACGCAAUAAUUAACAUAAAAACAUAAGUCUCGAAUUAAAACUAAAAAUUAAACAAUUUUGUCAUCCAUCCAAUACAUGAAAAACCUUAGCCUAGCAUAAUGUUGAAGUUAAACAAAUAAAAGAGGAAGGAGAUCACCAAAAAUUAAAGGAAUGCGAUUAAUCCCUCUCGGCUUCUGCGUGUUUACGUGAAUUUUCCCUUUUUUCGGCUCCUAUAUGAGUGUAUAUAUACAUAUCACUUUGCUGCCACAAGUUAUAUGUAUCUCCAAUUACUGCCGGCAACGUAUUUGUAAUUCCCGGUUGGCACUCAAUUUCUUUCCUCCAAUGUUUUGCCACUGUUUGUGUAAAUAUUUGUAUAGACCACGCAACCCAUUGUUUGACUCCCAAAAUUCCUUUUUACUCCAAAUUCAGCCCUCCCCCCUCCCCAAUUUUGGUGUGCUCCUGUAUCUCUUCCCUCAAAGUUGGCGUGCAGUCUCUUCCCCAAAAAUCUGCCUAUGUUUGUAUAUAAUCUCAAAGUAAGCAGCCGGUUAAUUUAUCUCACCAAAAUAAUUCCCAAGAAUCUCCAAGUUGCUCCUUUUUAAUUUCACCAAGAAGAUUAUUUUUUUCCAAAUUCAGCAGCUCAUAUGUGUAGAUGUUGACCCCCAAUUUGCUGCCCAAUUGUGCGUGGGAUAUAUUUCUGAAAAUCAGCUUAGGCAGCCCCUUGUUUUCCUCCAGCUGCCGUUUCUCUCCAGGAAGAUAUAUGGAUUCAGCCCUUAUUUUUUUUUAGGUUUUCUCUUCUCUUCCCAUACGGCAGUCCUUUUUUCCCCCUCUC